GUGGGGAAUAUUGGACAAUGGGCGCAAGCCUGAUCCAGCCAUGCCGCGUGAGUGAAGAAGGCCUUCGGGUCGUAAAGCUCUGUCAUCAGGGACGAACGGCCGGUGGAGUGGAAAGCCACCGGAUUGACGGUACCUGAGAAGGAAGCCACGGCUAACUACGUGCCAGCAGCCGCGGUAAUACGUAGGUGGCAAGCGUUGUCCGGAAUUAUUGGGCGUAAAGCGCGCGCAGGUGGGAUCUUAAGUCCAUUUUUAAAGUUCGGAGCUCAACUCCGUGAUGGGAUGGAAACUGGGAUUCUUGAGUACCGGAGAGGAAAGCGGAAUUCCCCGUGUAGCGGUGAAAUGCGUAGAUAUGGGGAGGAACACCAGUGGCGAAGGCGGCUUUCUGGACGGUGUCUGACACUGAGGCGCGAAAGCCAGGGGAGCGAACGGGAUUAGAAACCCUGGUAGUCC
rnacentral:rRNA from 1 species